GCGACCCCAGGUCAGGCAGGCCACGGUCGAG
rnacentral:rRNA from 1 species